rnacentral:tRNA from 3 species
GCUCUGUUGCCCGAGAGGCUAGGGACUGGAUUGCAAAUCCAUGUACGGCAGUUCGAAUCUGCCACAGAGCUCCA